GAAAUCAUCAAAUCUUGGAGAAUAUCUGGGCUUUGGUUAUUCAAUGAUGCUUGCAUGUAUUGAUUGAAUCUCCUUUCUGCUGUUUUGGGUUUGAACCUACCCGGAAUCCAGAGGAGUUUGUGAUAUUGUCAUAUUCAAUCGCUGAGAUAACCUUAAGCCUAGUUUAUAUGAUUUUAAUUGAAGUUCGGAGCAUGGAUAUCGCUUAUAUUGUGGAAUUACAAGAUUUCAAUAGUCAUGAGUCUUGAAGUAUUAGCUUUAUAAAUAUUAUUUCGAGAGAAAUAUGGAGUUAUAUUUGAGUUUUCAGGUUGUGUAAUAAUGAGCCGACAAUAUUUGGAUUUUAGCUCUUUUUGCAUAGCUUUUAACUUAAGCGAUAAAAUACAAUGAUGAUUUCGCUCCCUCUACUGACUUAUUUUUUGAGGAAGGUUGCGAUUCCGGAAUCAAUAUUUAUAUCUGAGUAUUUUAUUUUUAUACUUUAGUACUUUAAUUUUAUGUUUAAAUUUCGACUUUAUUCCGGCUGCACAGCCCG
rnacentral:sRNA from 1 species